rnacentral:rRNA from 1 species
CAAGGAAUAGUAGACAAUGGGCGCAAGCCUGAUCUCGCGACGCCGCGUGAGGGAUGAAGGCCUUCGGGUUGUAAACCUCUUUUUUCAGGGAUUAAUAAUGACAGUACCUGGAGAAUAAGUCACGGCUAACUACGUGCCAGCAGCCGCGGUAAAACGUAGGUGGCUAACGUUAUCCGGAUUUACUGGGCGUAAAGCGUGCGUAGGUGGUUAGAUAAGUCAGAUGUAAAAUCUCCUGGCUCAACUGGGAGGGACCAUCUGAUACUGUUUAGCUUGAGUACAGAAGAGGAAAGUGGAAUUCCCGGUGUAGUGGUGGAAUGCGUAGAUAUCGGGAGGAACACCAGUGGCGAAAGCGGCUUUCUGGUCUGUUACUGACACUGUUGCACAAAAGCGUGGGGAGCAAACAG